UCAGAACUGCAGAUAGUACAGGCUUCAGAGCCGCCAGAGAUGCCUGUGCACAAGUGCCUGAGUUCCGAGGGACUUUGGAAACACUUGGCUAUCCCCCUCCUGCCUGGACCCCAGGACUCUGCACCUGCAGGACAGACAGUCUGGCCACCGCCUCUGCCGUGCCUCCAGGGACGUGGAACCAGCACAGAUAACCGUUUGGAAAUGGGAUCAUGGCAAAAUUACCAACAAGUCCAUAAAGGAAACUGAAGGCAGUUUGAUCUACGCCUUCAAUGACAGUCCCACAAAGGUUGAAGAAAUACGUUACGUCUCCAAAGACAUAUGCCUCUAAAGAACACAGUCAUGCCCUAAAAUUAGGACAAGAUUCAGGGACUCCAAAUUCAGUGAAACAGCAUAAAGAUCUGAGUUGUCUCUAUUACUGCCAUAAUUUACAAGCCUGUGUGGUAAGUUGCUUCAGUCGUGUCUGACUCUGCGUGACCCUAUGGAUGGCAGUCUGCCAGACUCCACUGUCCAUGGGAU